GGAUUUUGGGCGCAGGCGGCCGGUCCGUCGCAAGGCGUGUACUGGCCGUCCUGGCCUCACCUCCGGUUCUCCGCCGGUGCCCUUGACUGAGUGUCGGCGGCGGCCGGAACGUUUACUUUGAAAAAAUUAGAGUGUUCAAAGCAGGCGAUUCGCCUGAAUAAUGGUGCAUGGAAUAAUGGAAUAGGACCUCGGUUCUAUUUUGUUGGUUUUCGGAGCGCGAGGUAAUGAUUAAGAGGGACAGACGGGGGCAUUCGUACUGUGCCGUUAGAGGUGAAAUUCUUGGAUCGGCGCAAGACGAACGACUGCGAAAGCAUUUGCCAAGAAUGUUUUCUUUAAUCAAGAGCGAAAGUCAGAGGUUCGAAGACGAUCAGAUACCGUCCUAGUUCUGACUAUAAACGAUGCCAACUAGCGAUCGGGGGGCGUUAGUUUUACGACCUCUCCGGCAGCUUGCGGGAAACCAAAGUCUUUGGGUUCCGGGGGAAGUAUGGUUGCAAAGCUGAAACUUAAAGGAAUUGACGGAAGGGCACCACCAGGAGUGGAGCCUGCGGCUUAAUUUGACUCAACACGGGAAAUCUCACCCGGCCCGGACACAGUGAGGAUUGACAGAUUGAGAGCUCUUUCUUGAUUCUGUGGGUGGUGGUGCAUGGCCGUUCUUAGUUGGUGGAGCGAUUUGUCUGGUUAAUUCCGAUAACGAACGAGACUCUGGCUUGCUAACUAGUUACGCGACCCAAUCGGUCGGCGUCUAACUUCUUAGAGGGACUAGUGGCGUUUAGCCACACGAGAUUGAGCAAUAACAGGUCUGUGAUGCCCUUAGAUGUUCGGGGCCGCACGCGCGCUACACUGACCGGAUCAGCAUGUGCUCGCCUUGGCCGACAGGUCUGGGUAACCCGCUGAACCCCGGUCGUGCUAGGGAUAGGGAAUUGCAAUUA
rnacentral:rRNA from 1 species